AUUUGUUAGUGUGAAUAAAAACGCACAGCACAUGCAAUCGUACACGCAUACAUCUUUGAAAUUUGAAGGCUAUUUUGACGUUGAUAGAAUGGGUGUUCGAGCUAUUGCCAGUGCUAUGGUGCAGUAGUUUCUGAGAUAUCAGAGGUAUGCCCUUUAGUGAUGUUGCCAUCAAU